UUUAGUACAAAUCUAAAGUGAGACCUGCCCAGUGAUUUUUAAAUAAAUAAAUUUAACAAUUUAAAAUAAAAUUUAAAGGACGCAGUAACCUGACUGUGAUAAUGUAGCAUAAUCAUUCGCCAUUUAAUUGAUGGAUAGUAUGAAAGGUUAAACGAAUCCCUCAUUGUCUUAAAAAGAGGCAUCAUAAAAUUAGAGUAAUAGUUAAGAUACUAUUUAAAAUUGUAAGACGAAAAGACCCUAUAGAGCUUAACUACAUUCUUUUUUAUUAAAAAGAAUAGUCUAUUCUAAAUAGAAAGAAAGGUAGUUUAGUUGGGGCGACUAUCUUCUAAACAAAACGAAGAUAAGCAAUUAUUAAUAAAUAAUUUAUUGUAUAAUAAAUAAAUUUAACAAUUACAAAAGUAGGCUAUAAUGACCCGUUAUAAUUAGAUGAUAAAUUUAACGAUCAAUAAAUAAAAGCUACCUUAGGGAUAACAGGAUAAUUUUGUUUUAGAGACCCUAUCGAAGACAAAGUUUGUCACCUCUAUGUUGAAUUAAGAUAUCCAGAUAAUGUAGCCGUUAUCAACGGUAGGUCUGUUCGACCUUCAAAAU
rnacentral:rRNA from 1 species